CAGGCUCUCUCCCGCCUCAGGGCCUUUGCCUAGCUGGGUGUCCAUCCCUGAGGCUUCCUUCUGCCUGUCUGCCGCCAAGGUACUUUAAAAGGAAAACGGAAAACAAGGCUGAUCUCUCCGCCUGAUUCCUGGAGCUCAGGAGAGCACGGGAAACCGCAGGCUGGAGCGCACCAGGCACUGUGCCGCCUCCGCGCCUGGGACCCUGGAACCUGGGCCGCGGGCGCCCGACAGGACAGAAGGUUGGGAGGUGAGGAAACUGAGGCCCAAGAGGCUAAGCGACUUGCCCCAGAACAUGCAGAGAGUGAGAGUCCUACCCAUGAUGCCGGGUAUGGGGGCCUCUUUUCCUGAAGCCACACAUCCAAGUUCCAAUCAGCCUACAGCACUUCCGUGACCUGCUCCAAGCUUCUGUGCUUAAAAAUGAAGUCCCCCAUUUCUCGGGAAAUCAUCUCUGAAAAGCAUGCCCAGCUCCAAAGCUCUGAGCUCCUGGAUGACACACACAUUUGUUGAGUACCUACUGUGUGCCAGGCACAGUGCUAGGAGUAAGGGACACAGCAGUGAACAAGGCAGAUGAGGUCCCUGCCCCGUGGAGCUGACAUCCUAGUGUGGAGAAGCAAAAUACUCCAUGAAACAAAUUACAGAACAGAGCAGGAUCAAUAAUGGAGACCAGGUCGCAUGUGCCGAUCCCUCUGUUCCCAAUGGAAGACACCACGAUCUUCGUGUAUUUUUCUCCUACCUGUGACCUCUUCACCCUCGGUAUUUCUGCUCACCCAUGGCUCCCUGCAUCAGACCUGCACACAGCCUCUGAAGGUGACUGAGCUCCCCCCUCACCACCACGGCCUCUCCUCCAGUCCUCCCUCCCAGGGAAGAACCAGCAAGAAUGUUCCAGCUGCCCCUUGUUUAUCCCCGCACCCACAGUGCACAGAUCAAGCUCCUCUCUCGCCGCUGGUCCUGCUCACUGAGCCUGUGGUCUGUGUAUCCAGAGAGGCAGAGGCUGUGAAUGUGAAUCCCGACCCCCUCACCCCACCUUGCUUGGACAGGGUGCGGGGGUGGCAGCCUAGGUCACUUUGCUGUAGUGACAUUCCAGCGUUUUCAACAGAAGAGCUCCUUUCUUGAACGAAACCGAGGUAGAAUUACAAUGGGCAAAACAGAGAAAAGUAUUUUGCUGGUAUAAGUGUACUUGAUAGGCUCACACGUAUGCCAUAUUCUUAUUGUAAUAAGAGAGAAUAAUUAUAACAAGACUAGAUAAGAUGAGAACAAGGUUGUUUUGUUGACUAUAAAAUAAAACAAAGGGCUUAUCAAUGACGGUUUCUGUCCUCGCUUCCAAC